AGCUUUGCGCAGUGGCAGUAUCGUAGACAGUGAAGUUUAUCUGAGGUGCAAUUAUUGCUAAUCUAAAAUUCUCAUUAAUAUUUGGACACUAAUAGUUCAG
ensembl:snRNA U4 U4 spliceosomal RNA